ACAGCAGUCGCCGCGGUAAAACGUAGGUGGCAAGCGUUGUCCGGAAUUAUUGGGCGUAAAGGGCUCGCAGGCGGUUUCUUAAGUCUGAUGUGAAAGCCCCCGGCUCAACCGGGGAGGGUCAUUGGAAACUGGGAAACUUGAGUGCAGAAGAGGAGAGUGGAAUUCCACGUGUAGCGGUGAAAUGCGUAGAGAUGUGGAGGAACACCAGUGGCGAAGGCGACUCUCUGGUCUGUAACUGACGCUGAGGAGCGAAAGCGUGGGGAGCGAACAGGAUUAGAGACCCCAGUAGUCCCUGUCUCUUAUAC
rnacentral:rRNA from 1 species